AAUGCCGCGUGUGUGAAGAAGGCCUUCGGGUUGUAAAGCACUUUUGUCCGGAAAGAAAUGGCUCUGGUUAAUACCUGGGGUCGAUGACGGUACCGGAAGAAUAAGGACCGGCUAAAUACGUGCCAGCAGCCGCGGUAAU
rnacentral:rRNA from 1 species